rnacentral:rRNA from 1 species
GUGAGUGAAGAAGGCCUUCGGGUUGUAAAGCUCUUUCAGCUGGAACGAAACGGUGCGCUCUAACAUAGCGUGCUAAUGACGGUACCAGCAGAAGAAGCACCGGCUAACUACGUGCCAGCAGCCGCGGUAAUACGUAGGGUGCGAGCGUUAAUCGGAAUUACUGGGCGUAAAGCGUGCGCAGGCGGAUUGUUAAGCAAGAUGUGAAAUCCCCGGGCUUAACCUGGGAAUGGCAUUUUGAACUGGCAGUCUAGAGUGCGUCAGAGGGGGUGGAAUUCCACGUGUAGCAGUGAAAUGCGUAGAGAUGUGGAGGAACACCGAUGGCGAAGGCAGCCCCCUGGGAUGACACUGACGCUCAUGUACGAAAGCGUGGGUAGCAAACAGGAUUAGAUACCCUGGUAGUCCACGCCCUAAACGAUGUCAACUGGUUGUUGGGGGAGUGAAAUCCCUUAGUAACGAAGCUAACGCGUGAAGUUGACCGCCUGGGGAGUACGGUCGCAAGAUUA